UGUAUUCUCUACUGUAAGUCGCUCUGGAUAAGAGCAUCUGCUAAAUGACUAAAA
rfam:Salmo salar isolate Sally breed double haploid chromosome ssa11, whole genome shotgun sequence.